rnacentral:rRNA from 1 species
UACAGAGGUCCCAAGCGUUGUUCGGAUUCACUGGGCGUAAAGGGUGCGUAGGCGGUUGGGUAAGUCUGAUGUGAAAUCUCACAGCUUAACUGUGAGACUGCAUUGGAUACUAUUCGGCUUGAGAGUUGGAGAGGGGACUGGAAUUCUUGGUGUAGCAGUGAAAUGCGUAGAUAUCAAGAGGAACACCAGUGGCGAAGGCGAGUCCCUGGACAACUUCUGACGCUGAGGCACGAAAGCUAGGGGAGCAAACAGG